AGAACUUCCAAACGCCUGAACCGCAGCGGCCACGCGUUCCUCCAGAACCUCCUCCCACAGGAGCUUGCUAUACGUGCUGGAAAUCUGGCCACUGGGCCAAGGAAUGCCCGCAGCCCAGGAUUCCUCCAACCCAUUAUUCUGUUCUAGAUCUCAGACAUGCUUUCUUUACUAUUCCUUUGCACCCUUAAUCCCAGUCUCUCUUCACUUUCAUUUGGACUGACCCUGACACCCAUCAAGCUCAGCAAAUUACCUAGGCUGUACUGCCGCAAAGCUUCACAGACAGCCCCCAUUACUUCAAUCAAGCCCAAAUUUCAUCCUCAUCUGUUACCUAUCUCAGCAUAAUUCCCAUAAAAACACACUUGCUCUCCCUGCCAAUCGUGUCCGACUGAUCUCUCAAACCCCAGCACCUUC
rnacentral:lncRNA from 10 species